rnacentral:rRNA from 1 species
GAGUUUGAUCCUGGCUCAGGACGAACGCUGGCGGCAUGCCUAAUACAUGCAAGUCGAGCGGACUUGAUGAGAAGCUUGCUUCUCUGAUAGUUAGCGGCGGACGGGUGAGUAACACGUAGGCAACCUGCCCUCAAGUUUGGGACAACUACCGGAAACGGUAGCUAAUACCGAAUAGUUGUUUUCUUCUCCUGAAGAGAACUGGAAAGACGGAGCAAUCUGUCACUUGGGGAUGGGCCUGCGGCGCAUUAGCUAGUUGGUGGGGUAACGGCUCACCAAGGCGACGAUGCGUAGCCGACCUGAGAGGGUGAUCGGCCACACUGGGACUGAGACACGGCCCAGACUCCUACGGGAGGCAGCAGUAGGGAUCUUCGCAAUGGGCGAAAGCCUGACGGAGCAAUGCCGCGUGAGUGAUGAAGGUUUUCGGAUCGUAAAGCUCUGUUGCCAGGGAAGAACGCGUUGGGAGAGUAACUGCUCUCGAAGGUGACGGUACCUGAGAAGAAAGCCU